CGGGCGUUAGGGGCGUCACGCGUUGAGGGUGCACUGUUUUGUCUGCCAUAGCGAUCAGAUCCUUGUUGGAAAAGUACCCAGGCAAACACAUCACGGCGGAGGGCCUCGUUCAUUGAAGUAUGGAUAUGGACUUAGAGUUCCGGAAUGUUUACUUGUUCGCUCAAAACUUUCGCGCUGCAACAACCGAGCGUUAAACGAUCAGUUUCGUUUAGCCGUACGAUCGUACGAGUGUCAAUUGGAUUAGACCGUCGUCAGCGUUCAGUAGCGACCGAAUAGAAUUAAUUAAUCCAACUUGACGCCAAGUAGAUGACGAAUAUAUCACUUGAGAACGUCGACACGGCUGUAACUGGCGUUGAAAAUUCGCGGAGAGUCAAGUGAAAAAUAAAUAAAAAAAGAAGGCAUAAGAGACACUCCCCGAAUCCAAAUGCAAAACGUUGUUUAUUUCCCUGCUCGUCUUGGCAACGGACUGAUUACUGCCUCGAUUGAGGAAAUGAUGUUGGCAAGCGAGCUGCAUCAUCAUUCAAAAGGAGGAGGAAAAAUUCACCAAGAUACAGCUUCCGAGGUGGAAAGGAAUCAGCCGAAAAAUUGAAAACAGAAGCUCGAGGAGACCUUACAUGGCAAUAUGGCGUGGUUGUUUGGCAUGCAAAAUUGUG